rnacentral:rRNA from 1 species
UACGUAGGGUGCGAGCGUUGUCCGGAAUUAUUGGGCGUAAAGGGCUCGUAGGCGGUCUGUUGCGUCGGGAGUGAAAACUCAGGGCUUAACCCUGAGCCUGCAGUGGGUACGGGCAGACUAGAGUGCGGUAGGGGAGAUUGGAAUUCCUGGUGUAGCGGUGGAAUGCGCAGAUAUCAGGAGGAACACCAAUGGCGAAGGCAGAUCUCUGGGCCGUAACUGACGCUGAGGAGCGAAAGCAUGGGGAGCAAACAGG